rnacentral:lncRNA from 1 species
AAGACUAGAGGCGCCUAAUUAAUAAUAAGUUAGAAACGAAGGAAGGCACCAGCGAAUAAAUAAUUAAUACAGACAUCUAUGUCUCUUUGAAUAUUGCUCCUUUAAAAAUUUAGACUUACCAGGACCAUACUGUAAGUCUGCAAUUUAUAUUGCGGGGAUGAUUUAAGAAAGCUAUUUUUUUCCUUGAAAUACAAUACUAAAUUAUUCACGGUGUUUUGCAAACCUAAGUUCCUUCAUUAGCCAGUCCUUCCGGUUUGUUCCUUCCAGGUGGAAAACACCAAUUUUUAAAAAUAAUCAAAAUAAGAAUCAUAAACUCAACAACUGCCAGCUGAGAUUAGCUGCAGGUGGCAGCUACGUGAGAGCAGAGCGUGGGGUCUCUUGCCCUAGGGAGGUGCUGGUGGCUGUCACACAAGGGAGAUUGUUAGGGAAGGAAAACAACAAAAGCAUAAGUCAUUGGCCAGUGACUUUGGGCAUUUGCUGGUGCUGGAAGGGAUGAAGUUUGAGGUAAACUCGAGGUCUUCAAAUGGCCCAAUUGAAAGGAG